GAUGAACGCUGGCGGCACGCCUAACACAUGCAAGUCGAACGGAGUUUAAGAGAGCUUGCUCUUUUAAACUUAGUGGCGGACGGGUGAGUAACACGUGAGCAACCUGCCUUUCAGAGAGGGAUAGCUUCUGGAAACGGAUGGUAAUACCUCAUAACAUAUUGAUACGGCAUCGUAUUAAUAUCAAAGAUUUAUCGCUGAAAGAUGGGCUCGCGUCUGAUUAGCUGGUUGGUGAGGUAACGGCCCACCAAGGCAACGAUCAGUAGCCGGACUGAGAGGUUGAACGGCCACAUUGGGACUGAGACACGGCCCAGACUCC
rnacentral:rRNA from 1 species